rnacentral:rRNA from 1 species
GGUUAAGUGAAUAAGGGCGCACGGUGGAUGCCUUGGCACUAGGAGCCGAUGAAGGACGGGACUAACACCGAUAUGCUUUGGGGAGCUGUACGUAAGCUAUGAUCCAGAGAUUUCCGAAUGGGGGAACCCAGCAUCUUUAAUAGGAUGUUAC